UACGAAGGGGGCUAGCGUUGUUCGGAAUUACUGGGCGUAAAGGGCGCGUAGGCGGUCCCUCAAGUCAGGCGUGAAAGCCCCGGGCUCAACCUGGGAACCGCGCUUGAGACUGAUGGGCUAGAGUUCGGGAGAGGAUGGUGGAAUUCCCAGUGUAGAGGUGAAAUUCGUAGAUAUUCGCAAGAACACCAGUGGCGAAGGCGGCUUACUGGUCCGGUUCUGACGCUGAGGCGCGAAAGCGUGGGUAGCAAACAGG
rnacentral:rRNA from 1 species